rnacentral:sRNA from 25 species
GUCAGCACCCCUACCUAAAGGCAAGGGGCUUCUAGCCUCAAACUUUUAGGAUUAGUUGACCAGACUCAGCACCUUUGGGUACUACGUUAACGGCAAGUGUUUAAGCUCCUACCUUGGAAUGCGUAGCCCCUCCGGGGUUCAGCA